rnacentral:rRNA from 1 species
GAUGAACGCUGGCGGCGUGCCUAACACAUGCAAGUCGAACGGAGUCCAGCCUUUAAGACCUUCGGGUCAAAGAGGGGAAGACUGAGUGGCGGACGGGUGAGUAACACGUGGGCAACCUGGCUCAUAGAGGGGGAUAACAGAGAGAAAUUUCUGCUAAUACCGCAUAAGCACACACUGCCGCAUGGCAGAGGGUGAAAAGAGAAUCGCUAUGAGAUGGACCCGCGUCUGAUUAGCCAGUUGGCAGGGUAAGAGCCUACCAAAGCGACGAUCAGUAGCCGAUCUGAGAGGAUGAACGGCCACAUUGGGACUGAGACACGGCCCAAACUCCUACGGGAGGCAGCAGUGGGGGAUAUUGCACAAUGGGGGGAACCCUGAUGCAGCGGCGCCGCGUGAGUGAAGAAGUAUUUCGGUAUGUAAAGCUCUAUCAGCAGGGAAGAUAAUGACAGUACCUGAAGAAGAAGCCCCGGCUAACUACGUG